GGAUAUGAUGAUGCCUUUUGACACCCAGUCUUACUUCCAUCUCUUGGUGGAAAUGGUGAUAGAAAUUGAGGAUUUAUCUGAUCC
rnacentral:snoRNA from 1 species